UAGGUAACCUGCCCAUGUGUCCGGGAUAACUGCUGGAAACGGUAGCUAAAACCGGAUAGGUAUACAGAGCGCAUGCUCAGUAUAUUAAAGCGCCCAUCAAGGCGUGAACAUGGAUGGACCUGCGGCGCAUUAGCUAGUUGGUGAGGUAACGGCCCACCAAGGCGAUGAUGCGUAGCCGGCCUGAGAGGGUAAACGGCCACAUUGGGACUGAGACACGGCCCAGACUCCUACGGGAGGCAGCAUG
rnacentral:rRNA from 1 species